AUAACUUCCAAAGGGAUGCUGCAUGAAGUGCCUGCACCUCUGCUCCUUGUAGGAGCAGGGUCCUGUUGUGCCACUUGAUUGAGCAGAAAUAGCUUCUGUUAACAUGCAACCUCUGGGUCAUGGAAAAUCCUUUUUUCAUAAAAAGAGAGAAGUUGUUCUGGGAAAGAUGGAAAAAUCUAAACUGGAGAUAAAAUAUCAGAUUUAAGAAAGGAUGCAACUUGGUGCAGCAUUUGAGUAAAAGAAACUUGUAAAAUCAU
rnacentral:lncRNA from 1 species